rnacentral:piRNA from 1 species
UGCUUGAGCAGGUAGAAGACAACUGUCU